AGAAGACCUCCCGUAGAUCGAUGCUUGAAGCAAACGCAGAUUGUAAAAAAGCGGGAUGACGUCUCGACCGUCACCCCGC
rnacentral:sRNA from 1 species